GAUGAAGAACGUAGCGAAAUGCGAUAGGUAGUGUGAAUUGCAGAUGUAACGUGAAUCAUCGAAUCUUUGAACGUAAAUUGCACGCUCUGGUUUUCCGGGGAGUAUGCCUGUUUGAGGGUCGCCAAAUCAACAUCGAAAUUCAUUUGCUUUUGUAAAUGUUUAUCGGAUUUGAGCCGUCUUUUUAUUUUUUUUAAAGUGGCUUAAAAUGUAUUUUUUUGGUAUCGAAAAACGUUAUUUUACGAUCCAAUCGAUCAAAAAACAAACGUUUCGAAUGCCGUCUUUUAAUGUAAUACGUAUGACUGUGUCAUACAAUCAUGGUUUCAUUCGUAUACGAGUUUAAUUUUUGACCUCAAAUCAGGUAAGAACACCCGCUGAACUUAAGCAUAUCAAUAAGCGGAGGA
rnacentral:misc_RNA from 1 species